UGCAUCAAGCUUUCGACUCCACAUGGUGAUUGGGGUGGCUGAGGUCCUGAGCUAAAAUCCUGGAGGCCUGAGCUUUCCAGGGGUCUUACAGUCCUUUUAUUUAUUUAGACAAAUACAAAUCUUCUUAGCAUUUUUGGCUGCCCAGGUUGGCCUAGAAUUUGUAAUGACAGGUGUAAAUCAGAACACCUGGCAACAAGCAAAUAGGCAUUUGAAGAGAUGGUGUGCUAACAUGGUAAUAAAUAAAGAUUUUGCAAAUGAAGAGAUUUUUUUUCUCACGUGGUCAAUGCAUUGAGAACAAUAUUCUGUUAUUGAUGAAUAAUAUAUAUACUGACCCUCCUCUUACAUAAAGUACAGGAUAGAAAAAAAAAUAGAAAUGGAAGAUAUAGAUGAUCUGAGAGCUAGUUAAAAGUCUACCAAGGAGCAUGAGAAGAUUAAAGGAUUACCUGAAAUGAAGCUAAUCACAGGGCCAUGGAGCAACAACUGUUACUAGCAGCCAUGAAGCUUUCUUUGACUUGCCCUCUCUUAGUGCAAAAGCUAAGAAUUUACACCUGAAGAGCCAGAGAGAGCAGGAACUGUGGCCUGUAAGUGAACAACCAUGAUAAGACAGUUGUUGGUAAUGGAGGAUGUGUGUAGGAUCUGCACCAUUUACCUUGCAAAUGUGAGAAGCAACGGUUACCCUUCAGGGUUCCAAAAACUUGUGAAGGCAUCCACUAGAUAGUUCUAAAACUAAAGGAUACAAUGGGCAAAACGAGUUUUAAAAUUUUUAACAUUACUAUUUUGUUUCUAAAGAGUAUAGUUCCAUUUUACUACAUGGCAUUCCUGAAGCUUUGUCUUGAGGUGAAAUUGUCAGCACAUGCCUUUCUUUAUGGAAUACAAGAUGGUGCUGUGACUUAAGAGAUACUGUAAGGUUUUUUUAAAGCUAUAACUAAGCUAAAGUGUAGAAGAAAAAAAAAAGGUUUAAGACAUGCUUGGUUGGUCUAGGCAUGGUUCACACCUUUAAUCUCAGCACUUGGGAGCCAGAAGUAAGUGGAUCAACAUGAGUUCCAAACCUGCCUGGUCUAUAUAGCCAUUUUUUGGGGUGAGGAGCUCAAUUAAAUCAUUUUAAUGCAGAUUUAAUUUAAAUCUUUUAAACCUUCUUGGCAUUAUAAGUACAUAAAUUGGAAACUUCUACACAGCCUCUUCCCAUUUAUUUAUCAUAAAAUUCUUAUCUAUAAUUCAUUACACUGGAGUAGGAUUCUGGAAGACUGCAAAAUUGCUAUGAUAAGCAUAGAAUCUUGGCUGGUCAUGAUGGCUUAAACCUUAAAUCUCAGCACUGGUUUACAAAGGGAGUUCCAAGACACCCAAGGCUGUUAUACAGGGAAACCUUGUCUUCAAAACAAAACAAAGAAUCUUACCAUGUGAUCUUCUCUGUGGUGUUUGAAAGGCAAAGGUAGGAAAAAAGAACCAUGAAGAUAAAAUUGUGAAUAUUAGUCUACAAUGUAGCCCAGAGUGUUACCUGUUUUGUUGGGAUUAUUGGUACUCCAUAAAUACCUGCAAAUUCUUAAUCCUGUGCACAACCCAAAGGUUUUCUGCCAUGAAAUGGCUUUAGAAUUAUCUGUUGUUAUUUUGAAAAUAUUCUUUAUUUAUUACAUGGCAGUUCAAUAAAUGUAAACAAUGUAUUCUGAUCACCCCUCCAUUGCCCUCUCUUAACCCUACCCAGAGAACCCCCUUUUUCCCUCCUGCUUCUUUGAUUGAAUUUUAAAUAAAAACCAAUAACAAAA